rnacentral:misc_RNA from 1 species
GUAGGUGAACCUGCGGAAGGAUCAUUAACACGUAUCCAACGUUAAACCCCUGUGAACAUUUACUCAACGUUGAUCCCGGCCGCUAAGUCUUGGUCACAUAGCAAUUCCUGCACUGACGCGGAAAGUGUAACAGGAGGGACCUCUGUGUGACAGAGCACUGCCGUUAUGCCCAGCUAAGACAUGGUAUCAGCUUUGCCAGCAAUUCCUGUACUCCGUCUCGAAAUUUGGAAGGAGAAGGAACCUCUGGUGG